rnacentral:lncRNA from 1 species
UUUAAAAAUUCAGCGGCACACAAGCCCAGCCAGCAGCCAUGUUGGUUGUCGGUUAUGAGCUGGACUCCACUAUCCUCUGUCUCCAUGUCCUCGUGCAGAGGGGGCCCCUGUGCACCGGGUUCUUCUCCCUUGUAGGACGGCGGGACCCGGAGGCUGGAGAAGGCCAAGGUCUCGCUAAACGACUGCCUGGCGUGCAGCGGCUGCAUCACCUCCGCAGAGACCGUGCUUAUCACCCAGCAGAGCCACGAGGAGCUGAAGAAGGUUCUAGAUGCUAACAAGAUGGCGGCACCCAGUCAGCAGAGGCUGGUUGUAGUUUCGGUCUCACCACAGUCUAGAGCAUCGCUGGCUGCACGGUUUCAGCUGAAUCCUACAGAUACUGCCAGGAAAUUAACCUCAUUCUUUAAAAAAAUAGGGGUGCACUUCGUCUUCGACACCGCCUUCUCAAGGCACUUCAGCCUCCUGGAGAGCCAGCGAGAGUUUGUGCGGCGAUUCCGAGGACAGGCCGACUGCAGACAGGCGCUGCCCCUGCUGGCCUCUGCCUGCCCAGGUGUGCUCAUGGUGCGGGUGGU